rnacentral:rRNA from 1 species
GUGGGGAAUCUUAGACAAUGGGGGAAACCCUGAUCUAGCCAUGCCGCGUGAUCGAUGAAGGCCUUAGGGUUGUAAAGAUCUUUCAGGUGGGAAGAUAAUGACUGUACCACCAGAAGAAGCUCCGGCUAACUCCGUGCCAGCAGCCGCGGUAAUACGGAGGGGGCUAGCGUUGUUCGGAAUUACUGGGCGUAAAGCGCACGUAGGCGGAUUGGAAAGUUGGGGGUGAAAUCCCGGGGCUCAACCCCGGAACUGCCUUCAAAACUCCCAGUCUUGAGUUCGAGAGAGGUGAGUGGAAUUCCGAGUGUAGAGGUGAAAUUCGUAGAUAUUCGGAGGAACACCAGUGGCGAAGGCGGCUCACUGGCUCGAUACUGACGCUGAGGUGCGAAAGCGUGGGGAGCAAACAGGAUUAGAAACCCUAGUAGUCC